UACGUAGGGGGCUAGCGUUGGUCCGGAUUUAUUGGGCGUAAAGAGCGUGUAGGCGGCCAGGUAGGUCUGCUGUGAAACUCGAGGCUCAACCUCGAGACGUCGGCGGAAACCAUCUGGCUAGAGUCCGGAAGAGGAGAGUGGAAUUCCUGGUGGUAGCGGUGAAAUGCGCAGAUAUCAGGAAGAACACCCGUGGCGAAGGCGGCUCUCUGGGACGGUACUGACGCUGAGACGCGAAAGCGUGGGGAGCGAACAGG
rnacentral:rRNA from 1 species